CAUGAUGUUGCAUUGUACUGAAAAGCCCUCUGGCUUCACAUAGCAAUGUGAGCCUUCAAUUUCACAUUCCUUAAAGUGAGGAGAGGCUCUUCUGGUUAGAAGCCCAGAUGCAAAAUGCAUCCAUCAAUUCCAGACUAGGCACUUCGCUGCAGCAAAGCUCCCAGGGUCUUUCGCAGCUUCAGAGAGCUGCCUAGCUCUGCUGCUUUGACCAAGGGACCUCUGUUAUUUAUUUAUCUUUCUCACACCUACUCAUUCAGAAGGAUUUCCUCAGAGGCUUCUGUUGCCCGGUUUUGUGCUAACUUUAGCUGACAAGUGUGGCUAAGCAAAAGAUUUGAUCUUUGCCCUUAAUGAGAGUACGCAAUAAUGAUGAGGUCAAAAAGAUGACCUUUCUUAGGUGUUGCCGGCGAUGCUCUGGCACCUCCUGAAAAACUCAGGGGCCCAGAGUCUGAGGAGUAUGAAGAAACAGGGCAGCCCCAGGGAAGACGAGGGGGGCCCAUGAAACAAAGCAAGUCGGCAUGACCAAGUUGAAACGUCGCUUCAUUUUCCAAGCUUGCAGCAAAUAUCCGUUACUAUCGCCAAAGGAGGAGAAGCUAAAUGCAAGUUUGGGAGGUUAUAAGGAAGGUAAUUUUCUUAUCUGAUUCUUCUCUCAAGAAGAUAAUUCUGGUAAUAUGGAGCUUGAAUGCAAAGUAGAGACGGGGUUUCACCGUAUUAGCCAGGAAGGGCUCCAUCUCCUAACCUCGUGAUCCACCCGCCUGAGCCUCCUAAAGUGCUGGGAUUACAGGCCUGAGCCACCGCGCCUGGCCGAAGAGGGGAAAUUAUUCUAGACCACAGGAACAGCACAUGAGAAGGCAAAUCUCCUGUGUCAAAGGCACGAACAAGGUCUUGAUGGAUGGCAAUAGACAAGAAACUCCCUUCCAAGGAUGAGGCCUCUUCCACAUUCGGCUUUCGUCUGAUUUAACAGCUCAAUUUCUUCAUCCUGCCACCUCCCUCAUGGUUUUUAUGAGACCUGGGAACUAUUAAAGAAUGCCAAAUACAAUUCA
rnacentral:lncRNA from 10 species